rnacentral:rRNA from 1 species
GAUCCUGGCUCAGGACGAACGCUGGCGGCGUGCUUAACACAUGCAAGUCGAACGAGGUUUAACGAGAAGCUUGCUUCUCAUUAGACCGAGUGGCAAACGGGUGAGUAACGCGUAAACAACCUGCCCUCAGGAUGGGGACAACAGCUGGAAACGGCUGCUAAUACCGAAUACGAUCACAGUACCGCAUGGCGCUGUGAUGAAAGGAUGGCCUCUAUUUAUAAGCUAUCGCCGGAGGAGGGGUUUGCGUCUGAUUAGCUAGUUGGAGGGGUAACGGCCCACCAAGGCGACGAUCAGUAGCCGGUCUGAGAGGACGAACGGCCACAUUGGAACUGAGACACGGUCCAGACUCCUACGGGAGGCAGCAGUGGGGAAUCUUCCGCAAUGGGCGAAAGCCUGACGGAGCAACGCCGCGUGAGUGAUGACGGCCUUCGGGUUGUAAAGCUCUGUUAUAUGGGACGAACGGGCAUGGGGCGAAUACCCCCAUGCAGUGACGGUACCG